rnacentral:rRNA from 1 species
AUUGAACGCUGGCGGCAGGCCUAACACAUGCAAGUCGAACGAGUGGCGGACGGGUGAGUAAUGUCUGGGAACCUGCCUGAUGGAGGGGGAUAACUACUGGAAACGGUAGCUAAUACUGCAUAACACCGGGUGUGCCCAGAUGGGAUGAGCUAGUAGGUGGGGUAACGGCAGACCUAGGCGACGAUCCCUAGCUGGUCUGAGAGGAUGACCAGCCACACUGGAACUGAGACACGGUCCAGACUCCUACGGGAGGCAGCAGUGGGGAAUAUUGCACAAUGGGCGAAAGCCUGAUGCAGCAACGCCGCGUGUAUGAAGAAGGCCUUCGGGUUGUAAAGUACUUUCAGCGGGGAGGCGUUACUCGCAGAAGAAGCACCGGCUAACUCCGUGCCAGCAGCCGCGGUAAUAC